UACGAAGGGGGCUAGCGUUGCUCGGAUUCAUUGGGCGUAAAGGGUGCGUAGGUGGCGAGGUAAGUUGGAUGUGAAAUCCCGGGGCUCAACCCCGGAACUGCAUUCAAUACUGCCUUGCUGGAGUACUGGAGAGGAGAUUGGAAUUUACGGUGUAGCAGUGAAAUGCGUAGAUAUCAGGAGGAAUACCGAUGGCGAAGGCAGGUCUCUGGGCUGACACUGACGCUCAUGCACGAAAGCGUGGGGAGCAAACAGG
rnacentral:rRNA from 1 species